AGGAAAUAGAAUAUGGUAUUUCGGAUCGGCAGAAACAGCCCCUAAGAAUAUCAAGCUGCUGCCUGUAGAGCCACAAUAGAUGAUGAUUGCCCUUGAUAAUUUUUGAUGAAACCAUUGAAGGCAGUACUAUGUGAAUGAAACAUGUGCGACAUUCUUGUAGACAUUUUGAAGUAUUAUCAUCACAGGGCGUGACAGUUGUCAGAACCAGCACCUGAGACUAGCAAGUGUCUUUCUGGAGAGGACGUUCAGCACUUCCCCCUACCCUCCGGCCUGGGCAGAGGACCAGCGGCGGAGGAGCCAGACCAGGGCACUUCUAACAGACCGUUAAGAGUACAUCCCGUUUCAAGAGAUGUAUUCUGGAAGAGCCUCGAGUCAUGUAGGACCAGCCAAGUGAAAAAGGCGUGACAGUUGUCAGAACCAGCACCUGAGACUAGCAAGUGUCUUUCUGGAGAGGACGUUCAGCACUUCCCCCUACCCUCCGGCCUGGGCAGAGGACCAGCGGCGGAGGAGCCAGACCAGGGCACUUCUAACAGACCGUUAAGAGUACAUCCCGUUUCAAGAGAUGUAUUCUGGAAGAGCCUCGAGUCAUGUAGGACCAGCCAAGUGAAAAAGGCGUGACAGUUGUCAGAACCAGCACAUGAGACUAGCAAGUGUCUUUCUGGAGAGGACGUUCAGCACUUCCCCCUACCCUCCGACCUGGGCAGAGGACCAGCGGCGGAGGAGCCAGACCAGGGCACUUCUAACAGACCGUUAAGAGUACAUCCCGUUUCAAGAGAUGUAUUCUGGAAGAGCCUCGAGUCAUGUAGGACCAGCCAAGUGAAAAAGGCGUGACAGUUGUCAGAACCAGCACAUGAGACUAGCAAGUGUCUUUCUGGAGAGGACGUUCAGCACUUCCCCCUACCCUCCGACCUGGGCAGAGGACCAGCGGCGGAGGAGCCAGACCAGGGCACUUCUAACAGACCGUUAAGAGUACAUCCCGUUUCAAGAGAUGUAUUCUGGAAGAGCCUCGAGUCAUGUAGGACCAGCCAAGUGAAAAAGGCGUGACAGUUGUCAGAACCAGCACCUGAGACUAGCAAGUGUCUUUCUGGAGAGGACGUUCAGCACUUCCCCCUACCCUCCGGCCUGGGCAGAGGACCAGCGGCGGAGGAGCCAGACCAGGGCACUUCUAACAGACCGUUAAGAGUACAUCCCGUUUCAAGAGAUGUAUUCUGGAAGAGCCUCGAGUCAUGUAGGACCAGCCAAGUGAAAAAGGCGUGACAGUUGUCAGAACCAGCACCUGAGACUAGCAAGUGUCUUUCUGGAGAGGACGUUCAGCACUUCCCCCUACCCUCCGGCCUGGGCAGAGGACCAGCGGCGGAGGAGCCAGACCAGGGCACUUCUAACAGACCGUUAAGAGUACAUCCCGUUUCAAGAGAUGUAUUCUGGAAGAGCCUCGAGUCAUGUAGGACCAGCCAAGUGAAAAAGGCGUGACAGUUGUCAGAACCAGCACCUGAGACUAGCAAGUGUCUUUCUGGAGAGGACGUUCAGCACUUCCCCCUACCCUCCGGCCUGGGCAGAGGACCAGCGGCGGAGGAGCCAGACCAGGGCACUUCUAACAGACCGUUAAGAGUACAUCCCGUUUCAAGAGAUGUAUUCUGGAAGAGCCUCGAGUCAUGUAGGACCAGCCAAGUGAAAAAGGCGUGACAGUUGUCAGAACCAGCACCUGAGACUAGCAAGUGUCUUUCUGGAGAGGACGUUCAGCACUUCCCCCUACCCUCCGGCCUGGGCAGAGGACCAGCGGCGGAGGAGCCAGACCAGGGCACUUCUAACAGACCGUUAAGAGUACAUCCCGUUUCAAGAGAUGUAUUCUGGAAGAGCCUCGAGUCAUGUAGGACCAGCCAAGUGAAAAAGGCGUGACAGUUGUCAGAACCAGCACCUGAGACUAGCAAGUGUCUUUCUGGAGAGGACGUUCAGCACUUCCCCCUACCCUCCGGCCUGGGCAGAGGACCAGCGGCGGAGGAGCCAGACCAGGGCACUUCUAACAGACCGUUAAGAGUACAUCCCGUUUCAAGAGAUGUAUUCUGGAAGAGCCUCGAGUCAUGUAGGACCAGCCAAGUGAAAAAGGCGUGACAGUUGUCAGAACCAGCACCUGAGACUAGCAAGUGUCUUUCUGGAGAGGACGUUCAGCACUUCCCCCUACCCUCCGGCCUGGGCAGAGGACCAGCGGCGGAGGAGCCAGACCAGGGCACUUCUAACAGACCGUUAAGAGUACAUCCCGUUUCAAGAGAUGUAUUCUGGAAGAGCCUCGAGUCAUGUAGGACCAGCCAAGUGAAAAAAGUACAUCCAGUUUGAAGAGAUGCAUUGUGGAAGAGCAUGGAGUCAUGUAGGACCAGCCAACAGAGAUGGGCGUGACAGUUGUCAGAACCAGCACCUGAGACUAGCAAGUGUCUUUCUGGAGAGGACGUUCAGCACUUCCCCCUACCCUCCGGCCUGGGCAGAGGACCAGCGGCGGAGGAGCCAGACCAGGGCACUUCUAACAGACCGUUAAGAGUACAUCCCGUUUCAAGAGAUGUAUUCUGGAAGAGCCUCGAGUCAUGUAGGACCAGCCAAGUGAAAAAGGCGUGACAGUUGUCAGAACCAGCACCUGAGACUAGCAAGUGUCUUUCUGGAGAGGACGUUCAGCACUUCCCCCUACCCUCCGGCCUGGGCAGAGGACCAGCGGCGGAGGAGCCAGACCAGGGCACUUCUAACAGACCGUUAAGAGUACAUCCCGUUUCAAGAGAUGUAUUCUGGAAGAGCCUCGAGUCAUGUAGGACCAGCCAAGUGAAAAAGGCGUGACAGUUGUCAGAACCAGCACCUGAGACUAGCAAGUGUCUUUCUGGAGAGGACGUUCAGCACUUCCCCCUACCCUCCGGCCUGGGCAGAGGACCAGCGGCGGAGGAGCCAGACCAGGGCACUUCUAACAGACCGUUAAGAGCACAUCCAAUUUCAACAAAUGCAUCCUGGAAGAGCGUUGAGUCAAGUAGGACCAAACUGAGUCGAUAGUUCUGUAAAACACCUACUCUAUCAAUCGAUCAAUCAAGUAUCCUGGAUCAAUAACAACAUCAAUCACAUAGGAGCAGCCAGGAGAGAUGAUGGGAAUUGCAUUAUUGUGUGUCUGUCUUGCUUUUGAAGUAUGGUAUACCGCGGUGACUUAAGCAUAUCUGGGAAAAUGUUAUGAUGAUUUUGAGAUUAAUUUUUUCUUUUUCAAAAGUGAUUCUGAAUAUUUUUUUCAAUGCAUUACCCAAAAGAGUAAUCAAAUUGGGGUGUAUUUAUUUUUUCCCAGCUAUAUGCUUCAGUCACCUCGGGGUGCAAUUGUUACAACAGUUUACGGGCUACAGUCAAACCUUGUACAGCCCCGCCAUUAUAAUGUUUGUCAUAGUCCUUUUGGUUUUUGUGUUGUAAUUGUAGUGGUCUUUGUGUGUCAUUGUCGUAGUGGGUCAAAGUCGUUGUUAUCGAGGGUCGAAGUUAUUGUGGUGGUUAUCGUUGGUCGAAGUCGUCAUGGUUAUUGAGGGUCGAAGUUGUUGUCAUGGUUAUGGUUAUUGUGGGUCGAAGUUGUUGUUAUGUUUAUCGUUGGUCGAAGUCGUCAUGGUUGUCGAGGGUCGAAGUUGUUGUCAUGGUUAUCGUGGGUCGAAGUUGUUGUCAUGGUUAUCAUUGGUCGAAGUUGUUGUCAUGGUUAUCGAGGGUCGAAGUCAUUGCGGUUGCAGUUGUUGUGGUUGUCCUUGUCAAAGUUGUCGAAGUUGUUGUGUGUCAAAGUCAUCAUGUGUGGGUCGGUGGUCUGGUGGGGCUUGCUUUUUCUUUCCCUUCAAGGAAGCGUUAUCCUUACCUCUCCUUCUCCUUUUUUGUGUUUGUUACUCACU
rnacentral:lncRNA from 1 species